AACGGUCUAUACCUGCGGUACCUGCGGAAGGAUCAUUACAGAGUUCGUGCCCUCUGGGUAGAUCUCCCACCCACUGUUUUCCUUACGACCGUUGCUUUGGCGGGCCGCCGGCCCUGCCCGGCCGCCGGCGCCCAGCUGGCGCGCGCCCGCCAGAGGCCCUCCAGACUCUGAAUGUUAGCGUCGUCUGAGUACCACAUAAUAAGUUAAAACUUUCAACAACGGAUCUCUAGAUCGGAAGAG
rnacentral:misc_RNA from 1 species